GACANCUUAGAAUAAUUACACAUAGAAACCAAGUCCGCCUCCGUAAAGUGAGGCAACUCAAACCUAGCCAUAUUGGCUAAGUUCAUUAUUCGGCCCGUCAGUGCUCAAGCACGUGUCGUAUUGAAAAGUACUCCCGAAAUUUUUAUUAAAAAUGACGGUUUGUUCAAUGAACGGAUGUCAUAGUAUAUCAGAAAAACACAAAAAAGAUAGUAACAAUACAUUUCACGCGGUUCCUUCCUAUCAUCGAAGCGACAAUUGUUCAGAAAACAGUUGCAGUUGUUACAAGGCUACUGAAAUUAAUAAUUAUACAUGUUAUUUGUUUUUCUUUCUCA
rnacentral:lncRNA from 1 species